UACGAAGGGGGCUAGCGUUGUUCGGAUUUACUGGGCGUAAAGCGCACGUAGGCGGAUCGAUCAGUCAGGGGUGAAAUCCCAGAGCUCAACUCUGGAACUGCCUUUGAUACUGUCGAUCUGGAGUAUGGAAGAGGUGAGUGGAAUUCCGAGUGUAGAGGUGAAAUUCGUAGAUAUUCGGAAGAACACCAGUGGCGAAGGCGGCUCACUGGCCCGGUACUGACGCUCAUGUGCGAAAGCGUGGGGAGCAAACAGG
rnacentral:rRNA from 1 species